GCAACAUGAAGCAGAUUGGACACAGUGUUCAAACCUCGUUCAAGGGAAAUGUUGGUGGAGACUGAGCAGGGAGAACUGAAGCAGGACCUGCUGCCUUGAUUAAAAAACAUGAUGCACAAAGACUCUCCUGGGGCACAUACCUCCCCACCCCUAAAAACAACUAAUGAAGCAUACAUUUGCUACAAGUAGUACUUAUCUCAAGCUGCAGAAGUUUGAACGGUUAAAAAUAUCUGAUUCGGUGCAGAGAAGCAUCACAAAUGUGGCCAAGGCUCAAGUUACUGCAAUGUCACCAGGAUAACUGUGCUGCCUUCAGCUCAGCUUCUUCCUAAAUUACUGAAGCAGUUCCUACCUGACGUCAGACAUUCUCAAAGAGCAAUUACAUAGUCAAGCAGGCCCGAACAUAUUUGCCAGAGAUCCCAAAUGUAGAUUCUCUACGUUCCACAAAUAAACCUCCCGUGGAUAGUUACUGAAUGUA